AUCGCUUCUCGGCCUUUUGGCUAAGAUCAAGUGUAGACUAAAAGUUUUAGUCAUUUACUUGUGGGCCUCUUUGCCCCAUUUGCUUCAUCUUAAUGGUUGCUCCUUUGAGUAAAUUUGAAACAAUAGACUCAGGAGGAAAUAAACUACCUCUUAAUCCAGUUUUUUCUGA
rnacentral:snRNA from 1 species